rnacentral:tRNA from 2 species
GGCCCGUUGGUCAAGUGGUUAAGACAUCGCCCUUUCACGGCGGUAUCACGGGUUCGAAUCCCGUACGGGUCA